UACGGAGGGUGCAAGCGUUGUCCGGAAUCACUGGGCGUAAAGGGCGCGUAGGCGGCUCAUGAAGGCUGUGGUGAAAGUCCGGGGCUCAACCUCGGAUCGGCCGUGGCGACUCGUGGGCUGGAGCACUGUAGAGGCGGGUGGAAUUCCUGGUGUAGCGGUGAAAUGCGCAGAUAUCAGGAGGAACACCAAUGGCGAAGGCAGCACUCUGGGACGUGACUGACGCUGAGACGCGAAAGCGUGGGGAGCAAACAGG
rnacentral:rRNA from 1 species